AUAGGUUAACGAGGCGAACCGGGGGAACUGAAACAUCUAAGUACCCCGAGGAAAAGAAAUCAACCGAGAUUCCCCCAGUAGCGGCGAGCGAACGGGGAGCAGCCCAGAGUCUGAAUCAGCUUGUGUGUUAGUGGAACGGUCUGGAAAGUCCGACGGUACAGGGUGAUAGUCCCGUACACCAAAAUGCACAGGCUGUGAACUCGAAGAGUAGGGCGGGACACGUGGUAUCCUGUCUGAAUAUGGGGGGACCAUCCUCCAAGGCUAAAUACUCCUGACUGACCGAUAGUGAACCAGUACCGUGAGGGAAAGGCGAAAAGAACCCCGGCGAGGGGAGUGAAAAAGAACCUGAAACCGUGUACGUACAAGCAGUGGGAGCACCUUCGGGUGUGACUGCGUACCUUUUGUAUAAUGGGUCAGCGACUUAUAUUCUGUAGCAAGGUUAACCGUAUAGGGGAGCCGCAGGGAAACCGAGUCUUAACUGGGCGUUAAGUUGCAGGGUAUAGACCCGAAACCCGGUGAUCUAGCCAUGGGCAGGUUGAAGGUUGGGUAACACUAACUGGAGGACCGAACCGACUAAUGUUGAAAAAUUAGCGGAUGACUUGUGGCUGGGGGUGAAAGGCCAAUCAAACCGGGAGAUAGCUGGUUCUCCCCGAAAGCUAUUUAGGUAGCGCCUCGUGAACUCAUCUUCGGGGGUAGAGCACUGUUUCGGCUAGGGGGUCAUCCCGACUUACCAACCCGAUGCAAACUACGAAUACCGAAGAAUGUUAUCACGGGAGACACACGGCGGGUGCUAACGUCCGUCGUGAAGAGGGAAACAACCCAGACCGCCAGCUAAGGUCCCAAAGUCAUGGUUAAGUGGGAAACGAUGUGGGAAGGCACAGACAGCCAGGAUGUUGGCUUAGAAGCAGCCAUCAUUUAAAGAAAGCGUAAUAGCUCACUGGUCGAGUCGGCCUGCGCGGAAGAUGUAACGGGGCUAAACCAUGCACCGAAGCUGCGGCAGCGACACUAUGUGUUGUUGGGUAGGGGAGCGUUCUGUAAGCCUGCGAAGGUGUGCUGUGAGGCAUGCUGGAGGUAUCAGAAGUGCGAAUGCUGACAUAAGUAACGAUAAAGCGGGUGAAAAGCCCGCUCGCCGGAAGACCAAGGGUUCCUGUCCAACGUUAAUCGGGGCAGGGUGAGUCGACCCCUAAGGCGAGGCCGAAAGGCGUAGUCGAUGGGAAACAGGUUAAUAUUCCUGUACUUGGUGUUACUGCGAAGGGGGGACGGAGAAGGCUAUGUUAGCCGGGCGACGGUUGUCCCGGUUUAAGCAUGUAGGCUGAUUGUCCAGGCAAAUCCGGAUAAUCAAGGCUGAGGUGUGAUGACGAGGCACUACGGUGCUGAAGUAACAAAUGCCCUGCUUCCAGGAAAAGCCUCUAAGCAUCAGGUAACAUCAAAUCGUACCCCAAACCGACACAGGUGGUCAGGUAGAGAAUACCAAGGCGCUUGAGAGAACUCGGGUGAAGGAACUAGGCAAAAUGGUGCCGUAACUUCGGGAGAAGGCACGCUGGUGUGUAGGUGAAGUCCCUGCGGAUGGAGCUGAGACCAGUCGAAGAUACCAGCUGGCUGCAACUGUUUAUUAAAAACACAGCACUGUGCAAACACGAAAGUGGACGUAUACGGUGUGACGCCUGCCCGGUGCCGGAAGGUUAAUUGAUGGGGUUAUCCGUAAGGAGAAGCUCUUGAUCGAAGCCCCGGUAAACGGCGGCCGUAACUAUAACGGUCCUAAGGUAGCGAAAUUCCUUGUCGGGUAAGUUCCGACCUGCACGAAUGGCGUAAUGAUGGCCAGGCUGUCUCCACCCGAGACUCAGUGAAAUUGAACUCGCUGUGAAGAUGCAGUGUACCCGCGGCAAGACGGAAAGACCCCGUGAACCUUUACUAUAGCUUGACACUGAACAUUGAGCCUUGAUGUGUAGGAUAGGUGGGAGGCUUUGAAGCGUGGACGCCAGUCUGCGUGGAGCCAACCUUGAAAUACCACCCUUUAAUGUUUGAUGUUCUAACGUUGGCCCCUGACCGGGGUUGCGGACAGUGUCUGGUGGGUAGUUUGACUGGGGCGGUCUCCUCCCAAAGCGUAACGGAGGAGCACGAAGGUUAGCUAAUCCUGGUCGGACAUCAGGAGGUUAGUGCAAUGGCAUAAGCUAGCUUGACUGCGAGCGUGACGGCGCGAGCAGGUGCGAAAGCAGGUCAUAGUGAUCCGGUGGUUCUGAAUGGAAGGGCCAUCGCUCAACGGAUAAAAGGUACUCCGGGGAUAACAGGCUGAUACCGCCCAAGAGUUCAUAUCGACGGCGGUGUUUGGCACCUCGAUGUCGGCUCAUCACAUCCUGGGGCUGAAGUAGGUCCCAAGGGUAUGGCUGUUCGCCAUUUAAAGUGGUACGCGAGCUGGGUUUAGAACGUCGUGAGACAGUUCGGUCCCUAUCUGCCGUGGGCGCUGGAGAAUUGAGGGGGGCUGCUCCUAGUACGAGAGGACCGGAGUGGACGCAUCACUGGUGUUCGGGUUGUCAUGCCAAUGGCACUGCCCGGUAGCUAAAUGCGGAAGAGAUAAGUGCUGAAAGCAUCUAAGCACGAAACUUGCCCCGAGAUGAGUUCUCCCUGAGACU
rnacentral:rRNA from 1 species